rnacentral:SRP_RNA from 1 species
GCUGGGUGUAGUGGCGUAUCCCUGACAUCCCAGCUAUUGGGGAGGCUGAGGGCUGAUUGAUCUCUUGAGGUUAGGAAUUCUGAGUUGCAAUGGGCUAAGCUGAUUGGGUAUUCACACUAAGUUUGGAACUAAUAUAGUGAGCCCCGGGGACAUGGACCUCCAGGUUACCUAAAGAAGGGCAGACAAGCACAGACUGGAAACAGCAGAUAAAGCUUUUAUACUAAUCAGUGCAUUGGGCCCAUGAGUAGCCCCAGAACUUCUAGUCUGUGUAAGAUAGGGAGACCCAGUCUUA